UGCAGUCGAGCGGAACGAGUUAUCUGAACCUUCGGGGGACGAUAACGGCGUCGAGCGGCGGACGGGUGAGUAAUGCCUAGGAAAUUGCCCUGAUGUGGGGGAUAACCAUUGGAAACGAUGGCUAAUACCGCAUGAUGCCUACGGGCCAAAGAGGGGGACCUUCGGGCCUCUCGCGUCAGGAUAUGCCUAGGUGGGAUUAGCUAGUUGGUGAGGUAAGGGCUCACCAAGGCGACGAUCCCUAGCUGGUCUGAGAGGAUGAUCAGCCACACUGGAACUGAGACACGGUCCAGACUCCUACGGGAGGCAGCAGUGGGGAAUAUUGCACAAUGGGCGCAAGCCUGAUGCAGCCAUGCCGCGUGUGUGAAGAAGGCCUUCGGGUUGUAAAGCACUUUCAGUCGUGAGGAAGGUAGUGUAGUUAAUAGCUGCAUUAUUUGACGUUAGCGACAGAAGAAGCACCGGCUAACUCCGUGCCAGCAGCCGCGGUAAUACGGAGGGUGCGAGCGUUAAUCGGAAUUACUGGGCGUAAAGCGCAUGCAGGUGGUUUGUUAAGUCAGAUGUGAAAGCCCGGGGCUCAACCUCGGAAUUGCAUUUGAAACUGGCAGACUAGAGUACUGUAGAGGGGGGUAGAAUUUCAGGUGUAGCGGUGAAAUGCGUAGAGAUCUGAAGGAAUACCGGUGGCGAAGGCGGCCCCCUGGACAGAUACUGACACUCAGAUGCGAAAGCGUGGGGAGCAAACAGGAUUAGAUACCCUGGUAGUCCACGCCGUAAACGAUGUCUACUUGGAGGUUGUGGCCUUGAGCCGUGGCUUUCGGAGCUAACGCGUUAAGUAGACCGCCUGGGGAGUACGGUCGCAAGAUUAAAACUCAAAUGAAUUGACGGGGGCCCGCACAAGCGGUGGA
rnacentral:rRNA from 1 species